rnacentral:rRNA from 1 species
UACGUAGGGUGCAAGCGUUGUCCGGAAUUAUUGGGCGUAAAGAGCUCGUAGGCGGCUUGUCACGUCGGGUGUGAAAGCCCGGGGCUUAACCCCGGGUCUGCAUUCGAUACGGGCUAGCUAGAGUGUGGUAGGGGAGAUCGGAAUUCCUGGUGUAGCGGUGAAAUGCGCAGAUAUCAGGAGGAACACCGGUGGCGAAGGCAGGUCUCUGGGCCGUAACUGACGCUGAGGAGCGAAAGCGUGGGGAGCGAACAGG